AAAGUUAAGGCACCUAGACAUUUUUAGGCUUUGCUUUAAGAAAAUAUAUGGUUCCAACUUCCUUGAAAACCCAAAGUACAUAAAGAAAACAUGGAGCUGCUUAGAAAAUACAUCCAAAACCUAGGUCCUCUAGUGUUUUCUUUUGUAAGUAGAAAACUAGUCGAAAUUCAGAUCAUAGGGCCACUACCCAAGUACACAGAUCUGAAAAGGUAAGUAGCAAAACUAAUAGAGUAGAAGAUGUAGCCGGAGACCUGUAUGUAUAACAGUUAUCUGCGUUCUAAGAAGGUUAUCUUACUCCAAUUUAUGGAACAGUGGCUCAACCAGAAGCAACAGCCAAUAUUUAAUAAAGGGAUAAUUCAGGAAACAACCACAAUAGUUAUUCACAAUGCAGAAGCAUGACAAACCUCUUCCCCAAACGACCACCGCUCAUGGUCAGUGGUGUCCAUUUCAGAGUGCCAGCCAAAGACAAUGGUGUCCUUUUUUUCUUUUCUUUUUUUGGUUACAGGGAAGGCCGAAGCCAAAGACAAGAAAAGACUAAACAUGCACUGACCUAACAUGGGGGAGGACGGUUUUAACUUUUUCACAGGGCCCUCCCUAACAACUGCAAACUAUUUGGAUUCUCUGUGAAACAUGGUUUAACAUUUUCACAGGGAGAGGGCGGUUUCUUGUCAUCUUUUUUCCGAGACGAUCAAUCAAUCCAUCAAAUCAAACAUGUUAUUCUUAUACAGCUGGUUAUUGAGUUCUCAUACGGUACGUACGGUCUUAUUGAGUUCUGGCUGUUACUCUUAAUACCAUGUUACUCUUAUACAGCUGUAUUUGACAGCUCAUCAUUGUACUUUAAUAUAAAGCUUGUACAAACCAUUCUUUCAGUUAAUGGAUUAAGAGAGAGAGAGAGAGUUGAUCAUUUUUCACACGACUGCGUUUUCUCUUGAGAGCUCCAUUCGAUUCUAUGGCGGUUUACUUGCUCUGUGAAGCAGCUACAGGGUACUCUCUAUUCCUGGCUCACGGGCUCGAUCUGAUCGGGCAGAAUACGGAUGCAGUUUCAGGGCUCCGUUUCAGACCUGAACCGGUUUGCGAAAGUAGUCAAGCUCACAGCUUUUUGCCCAUUUCAGUCGGCCCUUGAUGACUAUAGCCAAUGCGUCGCAGUCUCCGAAGGCUAAAGCUUGCUGUUUUACAUUUUUUUCAUUUAUUUGAUUAUCUUAGUUGUCAGGUUUCAUGAGAGAGAGAGAGAGAGAGAGAGAGAGAGAGAGAGAGAGAGAGAGAGAGAGAGAGAGAAUUUGGGAAUAAUAUAUACCUAGAAACUAUCUGCUGCUUCUAACAUUACUAAUGUGUAGUAUUUUUGCUUGAAAAUUGCUUUAUAAAUUGUACUUGAAGAAACACUAUGUUAGUCCUACUUGAAUAUUCGAACUUUCUUUCCCUGCCCCACGUUUAUCCCCAUAACUUGAUAAAGUACCCCAUUUCGCAUAUUUUUAAUCUCAAAUGGUUUAAUACUCCAUGUAAUCUACGGUAGAACAAGUAUACUUUUGCACUGCAUCUUUAGUUGGUCGGCGUAUUUCAAUGAUUAUUUUUUGCUUGCAAAUUGGUCAAUACAAAUUAAGGGUCUGUAUGGUUGAAUUUCAGGGUGUAUGACUGAUGAGUUGAGGAACUUUUUGGAACUUAAUCUCCCAAAAGUCAAGGAAGGUAAGAGGCCAAAAUUCAGUUUGGGAGUGGCUGAACAUAAGAUUGGUUCUCACAUCUUUCAAGUGACUAAAAUUCCCUGACAAAGUAAUGAGUUUGUUCAUGAGCUGCUUCGUGGAGUGCAGCUGCAUUUUGAUAGGGUUUAUCAUUAUAAAUGUCUACUAGUUUUUGUUUUGGGUUUCUUGUUUUGUGGGUUUAAAAUAUAAUGACAUUAUCCUUUCUUUUGCUUUUUCUUUCUCUUUUUCAGACUGUGGACUUGGACAAAGCCCGACUUGGUCUCGGCAGCAGUUACAGCAUGGGGCAAGGUCAAGUUUAAUCCUGACCGAGUUGGCAAUACGGUGAUUCAAGCAAUCUCCAUUCUAGAUAACCUUGAUAAGGUUAUAAAUUCCUUCUCCAUGAGAUUCAGGUAUGACACUGGCAUUGACACAGAUAUCUUAUAUAUAUAUAUAUAACAGUAAACCAGCUGCAUCUUCUGGAAGAGCUUGUUGAUUGUGAUGAGUUUUUUUAAAAUUUGCUCCUCAGAGAAUGGUACUCUUGGCAUUUUCCUGAACUGGGAAAAAGUGUCACUGACAAUUAUCUCUAUGCUAAAGUGGCAAAAAGUAUUGAAGACAAGUCAAGAUUGUCCGAAGACAGACUUCCAGAUUUAACUGAUAUUGUUGGGCAUGAAGAUAAGGCAAAGGAGAUUAUUGAAGCUGCCAAAGCAUCCAUGGGUAAGAUUCCGUAAUGUAUUGCCUGUCAUUCAUUCAUUUCUUUAUUAUAUAUUCGUUAUUCUUAUUGUUACUUUCUGGGUUCUUUUUAUUUUUCACAGGGCAGGAUUUUUCUCUAGCUGACUUUGAUAUUGUUCAGCAAUUUGCAGAGAGGUUGGCGGGUCUAUCUGAGUACAGGAAAGGCAUUUAUGAUUUCCCAGGUAUUAAAAUGAAUGAUAUUGCACCCAAUUUGGCCUCCUUAAUUGGUGUAGUAGUUGGAGCUCGAUUGAUAUCUCAUGCCUGUAGUCUCACGAAUUUGGCUCUCUUCUACCCUUCAGAUCCCUGGCGCAGAGAAAGCUCUCUUCAGGUGCGCUUUUACUUUACCUUAGCUUUCCUUCCAUUGUGUGUCGUAUAUACCACAUGAAAGUUUGUUGAUCAGUUUGACAAUUUUUAUUUGUAUUUUUUUGAGAUAAUCAGUAUGACAAAAUUAAGAGAACUAAAAGAAAGAAAAAAUAUACUCAUUUGUUCUUAUCAAUCAAUUUGCAGGGCAUUAAAAACCAGGGGAAACACACCCAAAUAUAGACUGAUAUUCCAUUCAUCUUUUAUUGGUCGAGCAUCUGCGCGGAACAAGGGACGAAUGGCUCGUUAUCUUGCAAACAAGUGUUCUAUUGCAAAAUAUUGGCUUCUCUAUAUAAACUCCCCAACCCACCACCUUCACUCUCACCCCUCAUCCCACCCUUAUCAUUAAUUCGAUUUCAUCAUGAAUUAUACUACAUUAUUCGAAGCUCUUGGAGUCCAACGUGAUUCCAACAUUCUACUCCAGUAUAUUCCUACCCGCUGUCCUGUUAAAAUGCAUAGUAUUGACCAUGCCGGAGACCGUGUUCAUCAAGAUCUCCGACAACUCACGAUUGUAGUCUCCUAAACAAUCCUCUAUAAUAUACUGGAGUAGAAUGUUGGAAUCACGUUGGAUUUCAAGAGCUUCGAAUAAUAUAGUAUAAUUCAUGAUGGAAUGAAUUUAAUGAUAAGAGUGGGAUGAGGGGUGAGAGUGAAGGUGGUGGGUUGGGGGGUUUAUAUAGAGAAACCAAAACCUUGGGUUGUAAUAAAGCUAGCAAAGUACAUGAAGCAUUAUGAGUCGGCUGUUUCUCAUAUCAAACUGAUAAAAAGCAUCACCAACAAGAAUGGAAAUUGAUUUCUUGGUUUUGAUACUUACAUUUUUUAUUUUUUUAUUUCCUAAAAAGUAUAGUUUUUACAAAAAGAUCCCACUUCUAAUCUACGAGGGUUUGAUUUGGGCUAGCUAUAUAUAGAUGGUGUAACAAUACAAGUGCCAGUAUAACGCAAAAGCUUCGAUCUUGUUCAUGUCAGCCAAAUCCAAUUGGGUUGUUUAAUUGCUUUGGGCCUUGGACAAGCAUGGCACAAGAUAAAUGAGGUUUUUAUUUCUAGACAAAACUUUGUAAUAUUUUUUAGGGAUACUGCUGUUAAACUUAUAUAUAAGAAGGCCACGGUGGAGUAAAUGAGAAACAUGGUGCUUAUUGAAAACAAAAAAAAAAAUGCAAAUCUGAGGCCCUAGUUUUUGUUUCACAAUCUCAAUCAAGUCUUAUGUAAAAUUGUAGUGCAUAAAACAUUUCUCACGUUCACAAUGCCACACUUAGCAGUGUUAUACAAUAUCUCAACUUCUAUGACUUUAAGAUCCCUUUUUUUCUUGGUAAAUAUGAUUAUACAACAGUGAAAUUAAAUUACCACUCUUUUUUUACGGGAUUGUGAUGACCUCGUACUCAUGGGCGACUCUGAGAGGUGACUUCUUUGAAACAGGCCUUUCCUCAGACCACAGCUCCAAAUUAACAGUACCAGUUCCCCAGUGGAUUAGGCAUUUGUAAACCUGGCUAACAUCAAACCGAUUCAGUAGCCCCAACCCAAGACAUUUAUCAAUCAGCAUCCAUUCACCUGUUGCAAAAAUCAUAAUGAAAGAAAAGCUUGAUCAAAUAUAACCAUUUUCAAGAGUGAACUAAAUUUUUUGAAAAUUUGAUUUCUUUUUAUGGAUGCAAUGACAAAGAAAAUAGGAGGGAAAUAGAAAGAAAUCUAAGCAAUUUCCUGAACAUUUUCGUGACAUUCAAAGUGAGGUAUAGUUCCACAUUUUGAGCAGGAUAACAAAGUUCCAAUGUCUCAUUGUAAUGAAUGUAAGACAUUGAAAGAUAGAUAGCAUUACCAUUAGGCAAUAAAUUCCCUUCAUAGAACUGCUCCUCAGAUUCAGGCCAAAUUUCAUGCUUUGACCCAUCAAUGGCUGUAAAUGAGACAUAUGAUUCUGUGGGGUGCAAGAGGGUGAACAUUGGAUGUACUCUCAGGCAGACCAGCCUGCAAAGAGAAAACAAAAACAGACAAAAUUAUGCACAAAGGAAAUGAUAUUUACGGAAAGAAAAAAAAAAAAGGCACGCAAAGUGAAAAUCAGAAUUCAAAUCCAUCCAAGGAUUUUCCAUGUCAAAAUUUGAAGUUACAGGAAAAACAAGGAUUUAAACUGCAAGUUAACAGAAAGUCACGAAUGUCUGAGAUUAUUUGAAAUAAAAGUAAGAGAGGGGAGCAACUUGUGAACUCCUCCAUUUAGUCAUAGUAAGAAAUUCACAUUUUGUUUCUAAUUUAGUAGUCAAACAUUUAUACAUUUUGGUUAUAUAUGUUUAAAUAUAUAUAUAUAUAAAAUAUCUAUAUGUGUGUGUGUAUAGAGAGAACAAAAGGGAGAGGAGGGGGAUUUGUUGGAGCAAACCUUGAAAAUCCACCAGAACCAGCACCAACUUUGCGUGCUAUAAUGCUAGAGUCGAUUCGGAAAACCUUGGGAUCAUUCUUUGCAAUAUAUAUCUGUCGCUGGAGAACCAAACCACCCCCAAUAUCACCUUCUAACAAAAGACAUUCCUGCUCUCCAGCAUGCUCAAGAUUCCGCCUGCAUUGACGUUUCAGAUAAUAAUACAAGAACUAUCAUAAUGCCCAUUAAACAUACAUACAUACACACAUACAAAUGUAUCCAUUUACUCCAUUUAUUUUUACUCAACCAGGAAAAAAUGGUCCUUCAUAUUUGAACUACAACAUGGCUAAAAUGUUCACAUACUUUGCAACUAAAAUAGAAAAGUAUUAAUUGAUGGGAACUAUAAAGCAGCUCUACAAAGGGUGGUGGCUCUUUGAGAUACAAUACAUUAACAUGGUCUUAAAAUAAAAUAAAACAUACAACAAAUGUUUAAAGUUUAGAAGGUUUAAGGACAGAACCUCAUAGCUAGAAGAAUAUAUUGAAGACAUAUAGUAAUAGGAUAGCUGAAAAAUAUCACCUGCUUUUCACAUCUAAUCUAUACUAUGAAGUAAUUUGGGGUGUCACUCUGGUGCAAUUUUAGUUUAGCAUAUGUUAAAGUUCUACUCGUUGAAAUUUUAUUAGAUAGUUAAAAAUCUUGACACCAAGGAUUGUAUAAAAGAAUACUUUCUAGUUUGACUACGGGAAUAUUUUUGGGAAACUCAGGAUCGUAAUGACAUCAGAAUUUGGUCUCAUAAGGAAAACCCCAAUAUUUAUUCAGAAACUCACUCUGUAACAUUGUAUUCCUCAGUACAUCCAGCAGAGCGGUACUCAGUACCACUAUACUCUUCAUACCCAUUAACCUCAACCCUACUGUGAAGCCACUGUGUCCCUGCAACAAUAACCGCAUAUAAGUAUCAACUAUAGAGAGAAUCCUGAAGUGAUGUAGGGUUACAACCCUUAUUUUUCAUCAUCUUGAAAAAAACAUCAAUUCGUGCAACAAAAUCAUAAUUUGGAAAGUUUGUACCUAGUUUAUCAUGUUUCUGUCCUUGGAGUUCCUCAACUAAUUAUUCGUAAUGGAAUAGACUCAUGGUUGUGUAAAAUCUCAGUCAUUAUCAAAACUAAAAAUUUUGUGGCAGAGACUGGACUUUAUCCAUCAUUUUAAUGUUUAUCACUUCAUGUCUAUCCUUCGUGCUUAAAAUUUCUUCGUCUUUUCAGGCUGUCUAGGGGUUAACAUUGUAGGGUGGCUUAUUGGCAGAGGUUCAUGCAGGUCAAGUAAAUUGAAAUUUUAUUCCAAAGAAAUUUACAUGAACAAGAGAUUGAGGAGUUUGCUGCACUUCGGUAGUUUUGGAGAAUAUUCGGGUUUCAGCAUGUAGUCCAGAUAGGUGGAAAUGGAAACUGGAUUCUUCAGUGGUUUUAUCUUUGUUAAAGUUUUCUAUUUGAUAAUUAAUCCCUUUCUGUGUUCCAGCCUACUAAAAUUAUUUGGAAGUCUACUGUUCCUCCCAAGAAAACACUUGCAAUUUGGUACAAAGAAGAAAAUCCAAUGUGUCUGCCUCCUCAUUGGUGAAUCUUGUGGGGAAAAAAGAGGCAGAAUCUGGAACUCGCUCUAACAAUGUCCAUAUGCUUUGGGCUAUGGUGGCGGUUGGUUCAGGUAGCAGGGGUUAAUGGAUUAUUCGUCAUUCACUCUUAAACAUUCUUUGUCAAAAGUGUAUGUCUUUCAUCCGUGGAAGAAAGGCUAGAGUUUUGUGUAAUUGUGCAGUGCUAGGUGGUUUGUGGGUAAUAUGGUUGGAAAGAAAAGGAAGAACUUUUCAGAAGUAUAGUGAGGAUGAAGUGUGAUGUCCACACUGAGCACAUCAAUCUUGGGAAAUUCGGAAAACAUUCUUUUUAACAAUUUAAUGAAUUUUAUCCUCUUUUUCAAGAUUUCAAAAUAUAGCUGCUUGAGGUCCCCUCGAGUCAUGAUCGAGCCCUCUCGACCAGUGCUCCAAACCUCUUCAGUGGUUAAAAUUCUAUAAGUCCAAGAAAAUGAGCUAAAAAUCUUUAACAUGUCCAAAAUUUGGCUACUUUUCAAAAUUUCACACCCAUCUUGGACAACGAUACUGAUUCAUCAAUUAAACCAACUUAGCAAGCAGAGAUUGUGUACUACAUAUCCAGACAUACACCAAACGAAGGGGAAGGGUAAAUGGCACAACGGAGGUCAUAGAAACUAUAUACAUUAUAAAUAUAUAAUAAUGAAAGGAAAAUAAUCUUCAAAGUACUACCUGAAGGAAGGUGCAUCAUGGAAAUUAUUCUACCACCAAUCCAGGGAACUACUUUAACAAACCAAUCACCACCUUUCAGUUCAACAGGAGUCCUUGAGAGUUCUACUCCUUUGUGUGCAGAAGUCACUUCUACGUCUGGAAUAGCCUUGGCAUUUUCUACAUUAACAAUUUAAAAGGGGCACUGUCACUAAUAUAUAAGAGAAUUUUUAAGUGAGGAUGUUCGCCAAUAUACUUAUAUGUGAACAUCCUAUUUGUUUUGUCUGCCCAGUUUAGAUGACAAAACAGUUACCGAUUUGACUAAGUUUUCACCAGGAGCGACCUAAAGAAUAGAUUAUUCUGAUUAUUGAAUUACAAUGCAGAGUGGUCUCAGGGAAGAUGUUUGCAUGUAUAUAUACUAUUAUGCACUGGUUGCUGCUUGUGUAUAUAUAAAUAUAUUAGCAUCUUACUUCUCUUUAUAAAUGAAACAUGUGAAAACACUAAAUCCUAUAUAAAAGUGGAAUGCUACAAAAACUCGCUUAGAGACAUGUUAAGUUAAUACCCCAAAAGCACCCCCCACCCACCGAAAAAAAAAAAGAGACCACAAAAGAGGAAAGAAGAGAUAUUGACUAGAACAUCCUGCAAGAAUCAGAGAGAUUCAUUAUCAAAGCCUUUUAUCAACAUAAACAAGAAAUAUUAAUCCUUAAAAUCUCAUAAAUUCAUAAAUACAUGUUGCAAUUUGAAUUUACAGAAAAAUGCAAACUCACCUACAUAAGAUGUAUAAACACAAUGUUUUUUUAAAAAGAAAACAGCCUGGGGUUAUGAAAUCCAGAUGGUUUUAUUGAGGCCUGGUUAAUGCAAUCUAUUUAGAGGGUUUCAGAAAAGGUAACGUUUAUCGAGAAUUACGUAGAAUUUAGCAAUAUUUUAGGUACACACUGAGGAAAAUAUGAGCCAGUAUAUGGCAUAAAAGAAUUAUACCCAAACGAGAUCUGUACUGCUUCUCACUGGUAGAAACCAGCUUCACAACUUCCUGUUCUGAAGGCAUUAAAAUUUGAAGAACCUCUCCAUCUUUGCCCCAUGUAUCAACCUGUUUGAAGGAUUCAGGAUUAAAUAUGGUACUUUAUUAGCAUUGGCUUAGUCUCAGACACUGGAUUGUUAUCCCUAAAGAAAAUAAACCAUACCAUUGCACCUCCACCAAGCAAUAAUUGCACAUGCAGGCGACGUUGUGGCCUCUUCCAAGAUCCUUCAGUUUUUGAAACUUUGACAGUAACAAUAGAAGAUUGAAGUUCAGCAACAUAGUGUGUCAACAAGAAUCCACCUUUCAUGAAUUCAUAUCCAUCACCAUCAUCUUCAUAUAGAACACCUUUAGCUUUCCCUGUGAAUAAAGAGAGUUGAUAAAUCUUGAUAACUUCUAAUUUUAGCCUACAAAAAUUGGAAAAACCUAAUUGUCCUUUUUCUUUUCUUCCCUUGAUGAAACGUUUAUUGAAGAAAAUAAAACUAGAGGAACUGCAAGAAACAUGGACAAGCAUCCAUCAGACACCUAAAACAAGAACCGAAACACCAUAACCCAAUCAAUACACCUAAAACAACAAUCAAUCCACCACCCACUAAGCAAUAUGAUGCAGAAUAUAGGCCCAUCUUCAUAUUAUCAAUGCCUUAGGGCUACUCCCAAUUGAAGUUAUCAUUUUAUUUAUAAAUAAUUGUUCUAAUUAAUAUAAUUGUUAUCCAAAAUCAAAUACACUUUUGUUGAACUAGUUAAGCAAUAGGUUGUCUUAAUAAUUUUUUGUGGGUUCGACCUCGUAAUUUCUUAUCUCUAUUGUAAUAGAUCCGUACACUUCCAAGUAUGAUUUGGUUUAAUUCAAUGUAUUCAAUUACGUUAAUUUAAAAUCUACAUCAAUAAUCACGCAUUUGACCUUAACUUGUGCAUGACCAUCCAAAACUUGAAACUGUUGAUUUUACAACCAAACAAUCCAAUUAUUUGUUAAAGAAAUUGACAGAAUCAUAAUUACCAUGUUCAUCCAAAGCAACAACGAGUGUCAAGUCAUCAAAUAUAUUAGAUUCACCAACAUGCUGAUGAGGAGGACCCACAGGAAUAAUUGUUCCUCCUUGCAAAUAUAAAGCUGGUAAAUCCUGCAAUAACCAGAAAUGAGUGAGAAAAAAAAGAAGAAAAGAAAUGAGUGGAAAGUAUUAACAUGAGCAGAAAAAAUUGAAAACCAAAGCAUAUCAAUAUGUACAGUCAUACAUACAGGAUGUGAAUCAUCAAAAUCAAAACUCAACCAAAUUCCUUUGGGCAAUGUGCACUGCAAACUAUCCAUCCCCUGACCAGGCAAAGUGCUGAACAUGACAAAUAGGAUGUCAGAAUAAAAUGCAAGGAUCAGAUAUAAAUAAACAUUUCAACUGAACCUCCUUUACACCACCCACGAGUUCAAUGAAACUAGAAAGCACUUAACAGAUCUCUAUGCUGCAAUAGGUUCAAAGGGCACAAUUAUAAAUUUGCAUUGUAUUCUUAAUUUCCAAAUGAUGCAAGCAAAGUAUGAGGUGGGAAAAAAAAAAGUCGGAAUACAAGGGUGACAGAAUCACAUACAAUUAAAUUUAGAAAGGAAGUAACAUUACUUUAGCCAUAACAUUGAUAGACUCAGGUCUUCACUUCACUUCUCACAACAGCAAAGAACACUUCGAAAAAGGAACAUAAUAACGUAUAACAUGAGGCAUCUGUUAUUGCAAAAUUGCUUUUCUAUAUAAAAGAAUGGAUUUAUAAGUUAAUAUAAACAGGGAAUGGUCCGCCUUUUUCACGAAAGGUGAUGUCAAAUUCAGUCUUUGUCCACUAAAAGCACAAGGUACAGAUUACAGGAACCACAAAAGACAUAAUCUACAAGGAUUUGGUUCUUUAUCUUGUAGGAAAAGGGUGAACCUGGAAUAGACUAGAAGUGGACCCAACAGAAAAGAAUUCUCCAAUUUCCUUAAGCUGGGGUCUUUGGGAUCUGAACAUGCAUUUGACAUAUGCACUUAGUCACGUAACAAAGCCUUAUCAUGUCCAAAAGAAGUUAGACCAUUCAACAGCUAAAAAACUCACCAGCGAAAAAAGUAGGACUUGCCACUGGAGUACCCGUCUUAUGAGCCAUAUAGAAGAGAGUAUAUAUAUGAGGUAUAAGUCGGUAGCGUCUGUUCAAUGCCAAACGGCAUACUUCUUCACACUAACAUAUAGAAUUGAAAUGAGUUCUGAUUAAUGGCACAAUUAGCAGACCCAAAUCUAAAAAGAACAAUAGCGCACAUCAACAUUAAACAGCAAAUUGCAACGUAUAAAAACCAUAAAAUGCAUAUCCUUUUCUGGAUGAUUGACUUUGGCACGAAAGUUAAGGUAGCCCUCACAAUACCGAAACAAAAUAGCUUCAAAAUUAUAAAGCAAAAGAACUUGAAAUGAAAGACUUGGGUGCACUCAGGUAUUUUUUGGGCAUUGAAGUUGCAAUACCAAAGCACAAUAUCUUUCUGUCCCAACAGAACCAUGCUCUUAUUAACGAUAAUGGGUUGGGGAUGAUAGUCGGUCAAUCAAGCUACCAAGUGCUAACAACAGCCAGAGAUUUCAGUCACACAUUUUCCAAUUUCCACACUUUGCUCUGACCAUUCAAAAGCCAUAUCAUCUUCAACCUUUACUCCUGAACCCCUCAUCCCCAAAUUCCUGUCACUUAGUCCCAAUAUCUUGAGCUUCUCAGCCAAAGGAAGAAACUUUCACGUGUACACAAUCAUAAAAAUCAUUACACUUCUCAUGUGAUGGGUAAAGGAGCUGAAGAAUCAGGAGGCAUAUAAAUGUACCAGAAUUUCAAGGAACACUUAGACAUGUCAAUGACAGCUAAAAGGACCAAAGCUGAUAACAGCUGAUCCACCCCAAAAUGCAGGUCCCUGUCUGUAGGGAAGAAAUCACCCUCUAAUACAAAUCAUGAUUCUUGUUCGAAACCCUUCUUCCAUUUUCAGUCCUGCUGCUCAAAAUUCCUUUUCUUUCCUCUAUUUCUGCAGAUUUUAGAUGUUUUCUUUUUCUUCUUCCGUUUCAGAUAAGAUCUAGAUGGGGAUGGGAAGCGGGGAGGUGGGACACUGCGCCUUCGUUGAGGAGUAACACUUUUUCUAUUUAUAUAUAUUUUUUCAAUUAUAAAUUUUCUAGAUUUCGAAAAUAUUUUUAAAAGGCCAUGUGUCUUUUACAAUUUGUCACCUAUUUAUUUUCCAUGUGGUGCAAAUUUGGUGUCCUUGUCAACACAAAAUGGGUCCCACACUCUACAUAAGCAGAAAAAAGUUGAACCAGGGGUCCAACAAACAGAGGCUUGACAUUGCAAUGGCAUCCAAACUAUAGUUUCACCAUUGCAACGUUAUGAAGUUUGGUGUGCAGAGAGAAAUUUCAGGUUUUUAUUGUAAGUUGUAGGCUCUUCAGAGAUUGUCUCCUUGUGCUUUUGUGCUUGUGGACCUAUAUAGGUAGGAACCAAAGAAGCAUUAGACGUUUUUAGGCUUUGCUAUAAGAAAACAGAUGGUUCCAACUUCCUUGAAAACCCGAAAUACAUGAAGAAACAUGGAGCUGCUUAGAAAAUACAUCCAAAACCUAGGUCCUCUAGUGUCUUCUUUUAUAAGUAGAAAACUAGUAGAACUUCAGAUCAUAAGGGCACUACCCAAGUACACAGAUCUGAAAAAGUAAGUAGCAAAACUAAUAGAGUAGAAGAUUUAUCUGGAGACCUGUAUGUAUAACAGUUAUCUGAGUUCUAAG
rnacentral:lncRNA from 1 species